AAAAGGGAGGCAGCUGUGAACAAGACAGACCAGGCUAUGUUUCCUGGAACUAUAGUACAUUCUAUGAGGGAAGGUUAUGCAAUAAAUACAUGAACACAUACGUGAAAGAUAAUAUAGUGCCACGCAGAGAAUAACAAUGGCUGAGACUGAAUGAUAACUAUCUACUGAACCAAUUAAUGAACAAAAGAGAAGUAGGAAGGAAGACUUUCUGAAAACCAUAUUCCCGGGAGGUAUAGAAUUCAAACAGGGAGCCCAAGGGCUGAGACGACACACCAAAGUAUCCUCUAAGAUAUAAGAAGACUUCCUGGAGAAGAUGCUUAUUGAGCAGAUGCUCUGGGCUGAGCUGGCUGAGGACAGGAAGAUGGUGACAGAAGACCAUCCCCACCCUCUGAAGGCUCACAGUCCAGAAGUGGGAGAUAGACAGCCCCGGGAAGCAGGUGUGACCAGCCCCACGGUGCUGAGGGAAGCAGAGGCUCGGAAGCGGAGGGACCUCCCCGAGAACACGGUGAAUACGCGUCAGAGCAGAACCGGAACCCGGGCCUAUUGGCUUCGAGUCUGUCCACGGACGGCAUGACGUGGUGAUUGAGCACCUGCUUCUCUUCUGAGUUGGAGGUGGUGAGAACACAGGAGGGGACUGACCCCCUAUUCCUGGCUCUUCACCCAGAAGAUCUCAGCUCGCUGUCAUUACUAUUUUAUUUUUAAUACCACUUGAUUAAUAUCACAUGACAUGUUCUCUGGAAA